UACAGAGGGGGCGAGCGUUGUUCGGAAUUACUGGGCGUAAAGGGCGCGUAGGCGGCCCGCUAAGUCGAACGUGAAAUCCCCAGGCUCAACCUGGGAACUGCGUCCGAUACUGGCAGGCUUGAAUCCGGGAGAGGGAUGUGGAAUUCCAGGUGUAGCGGUGAAAUUCGUAGAUAUCGAGAGGAACACCGGCGGCGAAGGCGGCCAUCUGGACGAGGACUGACGCUGAGAUGCGAAAGCGUGGGGAGCAAACAGG
rnacentral:rRNA from 1 species